GGAAUAGCCCAAACCAAUAAAGUUUUCUUUAUUGGGGUUGCGGACAUAUCUUAAACGAAGAGGUAUCGUAAUUGAAGAGGUUUGGAAAGACCCACCACAGAAGGUAAUAGUCCUGUAUGUCAAACGAAAAAACUUCAGAUAUGAUCCAGAGUACCACGGGACACGUGAAACCCUGUGGGAAGCAGGAGGGACCACCCUCCAAGGCUAAAUACUACCUAGUGACCG
rnacentral:rRNA from 1 species